UGUGAUGUGGUUCAUUGCUAGAGCAUUUGCCUUGCAGACAUAAGGCCUGGGGUUUUAAUCCCAGCAUGACUG
rnacentral:tRNA from 1 species